UGUGCAGCCUCUGUUUUCACUUUUAUCACUUCAUUUCCAUUUGGGCUUAAGCCCGAUUUAUUAUUAGAAGCAAAGUUGGUUUGGACACCUUUUAUUAUUUAAUAGAUCUAUUAUUUUUUAUAUAAUAUAAUAAAAUAUGUAUUUUCUCUUUUAAAAAUAAAAUAUUUUGAAAAGGUUUAAGCACACGUGCGACCGAUCGUGUAGGCCUUGUGCUGAAAAUCUUUUCCUUUUCUUUUACAAAAAUUAAAAAU
rnacentral:lncRNA from 1 species